rnacentral:misc_RNA from 1 species
GGUUCCAGGAUAAGCUGUUUAAGAACGAAGACGGACGGUUGGAGUUUGCUGGGAAUGACGUGGCGGCGGGGCUAUGGCCGGGGGACGGUAAGCCGGGGCUGUGGAUGAACUCGGUGUCGAGAAUGGGGGCGGUGUAUAGUCUUAUAGCCAGGGAGGAGGAGAUUUACUUGGAGGAGAGGAAGAGCGAAGCUGCUACUGAUAGAGAUGAGGAUAUCGAGUUGGUGAUACCGCCGGUGUUCGAUGACUGUACUAAAGUGUUGGGUGCGAGGGAGCAGUUAG